AUGUGACGUCAGAGUAUCAGGUAACUGUGACAUCAGAGUUUCAGGUAACUGUAAAAUCAGAGUAUCAGGAAACUGUGACGUCAGAAUAGCCGGUAACUGUGACAUCAGAGUAUCAGGUAACUGUGACGUCUGAGUAUCAGGUAACUGUGACGUCAGAGUAUCAGGUAACUGUGACGUCAGAGUAUCAGGAAACUGUGACAUCAGAGUUCAGGUAACUGUGACAUCAGAGUAUCAGGUAACUGUGACGUCAGAAUAGCAGGUAACUGUGACAUCAGAGUAUCAGGUAACUGUGACAUCAGAGUAUCAGGUAACUGUGACAUCAGAGUAUCAGGUAUCUUUUUAAAAGACAUUUAUUUGUUGUUUAGUUUUACAGGGGCAGCGCACAAUUGCAUAUAAUUGCACCGGAGUAAGCGAAUAGCUUAUUAGCAUGUGUUGUCCCAGGGCAGGUAAACAAAUAAUAGCAGGAAGUACAUGAUCUAGAAUAACAGAAUAUGUAAUAUAAUAAGUCCACCUGUAAGAUUACACUUCACAGUAAAUUAAUAAAAAAAUGUCCAUCGGUAUAAAAAGUA